AGCUACUGUAUUUGGUAUUGGUCAUAUUUGUCAAAUAAGCAAAUAAGGCCAAUAUUUGUCAAACAUACCGUUACACAUGGUGAAUGUUUGGCGAAUACAUCAAAUACGCAAAUACAAAUAGCCAUGUGAAGUGCCUCCA